rnacentral:rRNA from 1 species
GGUUAAGCGACUAAGCGUACACGGUGGAUGCCCUGGCAGUCAGAGGCGAUGAAGGACGUGCUAAUCUGCGAUAAGCGUCGGUAAGGUGAUAUGAACCGUUAUAACCGGCGAUUUCCGAAUGGGGAAACCCAGUGUGUUUCGACACACUAUCAUUAACUGAAUCCAUAGGUUAAUGAGGCGAACCGGGGGAACUGAAACAUCUAAGUACCCCGAGGAAAAGAAAUCAACCGAGAUUCCCCCAGUAGCGGCGAGCGAACGGGGAGCAGCCCAGAGCCUGAAUCAGUGUGUGUGUUAGUGGAAGCGUCUGGAAAGGCGCGCGAUACAGGGUGACAGCCCCGUACACAAAAAUGCACAUGCUGUGAGCUCGAUGAGUAGGGCGGGACACGUGGUAUCCUGUCUGAAUAUGGGGGGACCAUCCUCCAAGGCUAAAUACUCCUGACUGACCGAUAGUGAACCAGUACCGUGAGGGAAAGGCGAAAAGAACCCCGGCGAGGGGAGUGAAAAAGAACCUGAAACCGUGUACGUACAAGCAGUGGGAGCACGCUUAGGCGUGUGACUGCGUACCUUUUGUAUAAUGGGUCAGCGACUUAUAUUCUGUAGCAAGGUUAACCGAAUAGGGGAGCCGAAGGGAAACCGAGUCUUAACUGGGCGUUAAGUUGCAGGGUAUAGACCCGAAACCCGGUGAUCUAGCCAUGGGCAGGUUGAAGGUUGGGUAACACUAACUGGAGGACCGAACCGACUAAUGUUGAAAAAUUAGCGGAUGACUUGUGGCUGGGGGUGAAAGGCCAAUCAAACCGGGAGAUAGCUGGUUCUCCCCGAAAGCUAUUUAGGUAGCGCCUCGUGAAUUCAUCUCCGGGGGUAGAGCACUGUUUCGGCAAGGGGGUCAUCCCGACUUACCAACCCGAUGCAAACUGCGAAUACCGGAGAAUGUUAUCACGGGAGACACACGGCGGGUGCUAACGUCCGUCGUGAAGAGGGAAACAACCCAGACCGCCAGCUAAGGUCCCAAAGUCAUGGUUAAGUGGGAAACGAUGUGGGAAGGCCCAGACAGCCAGGAUGUUGGCUUAGAAGCAGCCAUCAUUUAAAGAAAGCGUAAUAGCUCACUGGUCGAGUCGGCCUGCGCGGAAGAUGUAACGGGGCUAAACCAUGCACCGAAGCUGCGGCAGCGACGCUUAUGCGUUGUUGGGUAGGGGAGCGUUCUGUAAGCCUGCGAAGGUGUGCUGUGAGGCACGCUGGAGGUAUCAGAAGUGCGAAUGCUGACAUAAGUAACGAUAAAGCGGGUGAAAAGCCCGCUCGCCGGAAGACCAAGGGUUCCUGUCCAACGUUAAUCGGGGCAGGGUGAGUCGACCCCUAAGGCGAGGCCGAAAGGCGUAGUCGAUGGGAAACAGGUUAAUAUUCCUGUACUUGGUGUUACUGCGAAGGGGGGACGGAGAAGGCUAUGUUGGCCGGGCGACGGUUGUCCCGGUUUAAGCGUGUAGGCUGGUUUUCCAGGCAAAUCCGGAAAAUCAAGGCUGAGGCGUGAUGACGAGGCACUACGGUGCUGAAGCAACAAAUGCCCUGCUUCCAGGAAAAGCCUCUAAGCAUCAGGUAACAUCAAAUCGUACCCCAAACCGACACAGGUGGUCAGGUAGAGAAUACCAAGGCGCUUGAGAGAACUCGGGUGAAGGAACUAGGCAAAAUGGUGCCGUAACUUCGGGAGAAGGCACGCUGAUAUGUAGGUGAAGUCCCUCGCGGAUGGAGCUGAAAUCAGUCGAAGAUACCAGCUGGCUGCAACUGUUUAUUAAAAACACAGCACUGUGCAAACACGAAAGUGGACGUAUACGGUGUGACGCCUGCCCGGUGCCGGAAGGUUAAUUGAUGGGGUUAGCGCAAGCGAAGCUCUUGAUCGAAGCCCCGGUAAACGGCGGCCGUAACUAUAACGGUCCUAAGGUAGCGAAAUUCCUUGUCGGGUAAGUUCCGACCUGCACGAAUGGCGUAAUGAUGGCCAGGCUGUCUCCACCCGAGACUCAGUGAAAUUGAACUCGCUGUGAAGAUGCAGUGUACCCGCGGCAAGACGGAAAGACCCCGUGAACCUUUACUAUAGCUUGACACUGAACAUUGAGCCUUGAUGUGUAGGAUAGGUGGGAGGCUUUGAAGUGUGGACGCCAGUCUGCAUGGAGCCGACCUUGAAAUACCACCCUUUAAUGUUUGAUGUUCUAACGUUGACCCGUGAUCCGGGUUGCGGACAGUGUCUGGUGGGUAGUUUGACUGGGGCGGUCUCCUCCUAAAGAGUAACGGAGGAGCACGAAGGUUGGCUAAUCCUGGUCGGACAUCAGGAGGUUAGUGCAAUGGCAUAAGCCAGCUUGACUGCGAGCGUGACGGCGCGAGCAGGUGCGAAAGCAGGUCAUAGUGAUCCGGUGGUUCUGAAUGGAAGGGCCAUCGCUCAACGGAUAAAAGGUACUCCGGGGAUAACAGGCUGAUACCGCCCAAGAGUUCAUAUCGACGGCGGUGUUUGGCACCUCGAUGUCGGCUCAUCACAUCCUGGGGCUGAAGUAGGUCCCAAGGGUAUGGCUGUUCGCCAUUUAAAGUGGUACGCGAGCUGGGUUUAGAACGUCGUGAGACAGUUCGGUCCCUAUCUGCCGUGGGCGCUGGAGAACUGAGGGGGGCUGCUCCUAGUACGAGAGGACCGGAGUGGACGCAUCACUGGUGUUCGGGUUGUCAUGCCAAUGGCACUGCCCGGUAGCUAAAUGCGGAAGAGAUAAGUGCUGAAAGCAUCUAAGCACGAAACUUGCCCCGAGAUGAGUUCUCCCUGACUCCUUGAGAGUCCUGAAGGAACGUUGAAGACGACGACGUUGAUAGGCCGGGUGUGUAAGCGCAGCGAUGCGUUGAGCUAACCGGUACUAAUGAACCGUGAGGCUUAACCUU